CCUACGGGUGGCAGCAGUGGGGAAUAUUGCACAAUGGGCGCAAGCCUGAUGCAGCCAUGCCGCGUGUGUGAAGAAGGCCUUCGGGUUGUAAAGCACUUUCAGCGGGGAGGAAGGCGGUGAGGUUAAUAACCUCAUCGAUUGACGUUACCCGCAGAAGAAGCACCGGCUAACUCCGUGCCAGCAGCCGCGGUAAUACGGAGGGUGCAAGCGUUAAUCGGAAUUACUGGGCGUAAAGCGCACGCAGGCGGUCUGUCAAGUCGGAUGUGAAAUCCCCGGGCUCAACCUGGGAACUGCAUUCGAAACUGGCAGGCUAGAGUCUUGUAGAGGGGGGUAGAAUUCCAGGUGUAGCGGUGAAAUGCGUAGAGAUCUGGAGGAAUGCCGGUGGCGAAGGCGGCCCCCUGGACAAAGACUGACGCUCAGGUGCGAAAGCGUGGGGAGCAAACAGGAUAGAUACCCGUGUAGUC
rnacentral:rRNA from 1 species